rnacentral:lncRNA from 1 species
CCUCCAGAGGGGGCAUGUCGGUGUCAGCCUCCGGAGCCUCCUCGUCCUCGUCGAUGCUCAGGCCCAGCUUGAGCAUGCGGUGGAUGCGGCUGCCAAAGGUGUUGGGAUCGUCGAGGCUAAAGCCAGAAGUGAGCAGCGCCGUCUCGAACAGCAGCAUGACAAGGUCCUUAACGGACUUGUCGUUCUUGUCAGCCUCGGCACGCUUGCGGAGCUCCUCCAUGAUGGCGUUCUCGGGGUUGAUCUCCAUCGUCUUCUUGGAGGACAUGUACCCAGACAUGCUGGAGUCCCUCAGCGCCUGGGCUUUCAUGAUCCGCUCCAUGUUGGCGGUCCAACCGUACUCGCCGGUCACCAGGCAGCAGGGGGAGUCCACCACGCGGUCGGAGACCACCACCUUCUCCACCUUGUCGCCCAGCACCUCCUUGAUGACCUUGCAGAGGCCCUCAAACUUCUCCUUGAGCUCCUCCUUGCGCUUCUUCUCAUCCUCACUCUCGUCCAGCUUCAGGCCCUCCUUGGUG